AGUAACGCGUGGGAAUCUACCUUAAGCUACGUGAUAACAGAGAGAAAUUUCUGCUAAUACCGUAUGUGGCCUAUGGGCGAAAGAUUUAUCGGCUUAAGAUGAGCCCGCGUUGGAUUAGCUAGUUGGUGGGGUAAAGGCCUACCAAGGCGACGAUCCAUAGCUGGUCUGAGAGGAUAAUCAGCCACACUGGGACUGAGACACGGCCCAGACUCCUACGGGAGGCAGCAGUGGGGAAUAUUGGACAAUGGGCGGAAGCCUGAUCCAGCCAUGCCGCGUGAGUGAAGAAGGCCUUAGGGUUGUAAGCUCUUUCACCGGUGAAGAUAAUGACGGUAACCGGAGAAGAAGCCCCGGCUAACUUCGUGCCAGCAGCCGCGGUAAUACGAAGGGGGCUAGCGUUGUUCGGAUUUACUGGGCGUAAAGCGCGCGUAGGCGGAUAGAUAAGUCAGAGGUGAAAUCCCGGGGCUCAACCCCGGAAUUGCCUUUGAUACUGUUUAUCUUGAGUGCAGAAGANGUAAGUGGAAUUCCGAGUGUAGAGGUGAAAUUCGUAGAUAUUCGGAGGAACACCAGUGGCGAAGGCGGCUUACUGGUCUGCAA
rnacentral:rRNA from 2 species